rnacentral:rRNA from 1 species
GAUCAUUAUUGAAUAACUAAAUCUUUAGUUCUUCAUACCCCAUUGUUGACUUACCCAUGUUGCUUCCACGUGGACAGGCGUUUAUUCUGCCCUCUGGCUUGUUGUGCUAACCCACACUUGACAGGGAGUUGCCCGUGGUAAGACCCCAAAUUUAACACUUGUUAUAUAUACUAUAAUGUCUGAAUAAAUCAUUUCAAAUGAAAUAAAACUUUCAACAACGGAUCUCUAGGCUCUUGCAUCGAUGAAGAACGCAGUGAAAUGCGAUAAGUAAUGUGAAUUGCAGAAUCUCGUGAAUCAUCGAAUCUUUGAACGCACAUUGCGCCCUAUGGUAUUCCGUAGGGCAUGCCUGUCUGAGCGUCAGCUCCCCCCAACUCAAGCUUUUUUUUCUUAUGGAAAGGCAAGUUUGGAUUACUUUGAAGGUGUAGCUUGCAAAGGCUGCUUUUCAGAAAUUCAUAGGCAGUAUGGUUGUUCCUAGACCAGACGUAAUAAUAAUAAAACCGUCUUUUUAGGAAAGAAUCGUGCUUGCCUUAACCCACCCAUUUUAUUUUACUUGGGUGACCUCAGAUCAGGUAGGGAUACCCGCUGAACUUAAGCAUAUCAAUAAGCGGAGGAAAAGAAACCAACAGGGAUUGCCUUAGUAACGGCGAGUGAAGCGGCAAAAGCUCAGAUUUGAAAUCUGGCGUCAUUUUGGCGUCCGAGUUGUAGUCUGUAGAGGAGUAUUCGAGUGUAGCGCUGGCUUAAGUUCCUUGGAACAGGGCGUCAUAGAGGGUGAGAACCCCGUUAACGGCCUUUGUCUUAUGCUCAUGUGAAUCUUCUUCAACGAGUCGAGUUGUUUGGGAAUGCAGCUCUAAAUGGGUGGUAAAUUCCAUCUAAAGCUAAAUACUGGCAAGAGACCGAUAGCGCACAAGUAGAGUGAUCGAAAGAUGAAAAGAACUCUGAACAGAGAGUUAAAUAGUACGUGAAAUUGUUGAAAGGGAAGCACUUGCGACCAGACACACUUGCAGUUGAUCAACCUCCAUUUUUGGUGGUGCACUCGGUUGUAGGUGGGUCAGCAUCAGUUACAGCGGUGGGAAAAAGACCGAGGGAAUGUGGCUCCCUUCGGGGAGUGUUAUAGCCCUUGGUGUAAUGCUGCCAGCUGUGACUGAGGACCGCGCUU